rnacentral:rRNA from 1 species
UACGGGUGGGGCAAGCGUUGUUCGGAAUUACUGGGCGUAAAGGGUUUGUAGGUGGCUUGUUAAGUCAGACGUGAAAUCCCUCAGCUUAACUGGGGAACUGCGUCUGAGACUGGUGAGCUUGAGUGCAGGAGAGGAACGCGGAAUUCCAGGUGUAGCGGUGAAAUGCGUAGAUAUCUGGAGGAACACCGGUGGCGAAGGCGGCGUUCUGGACUGCAACUGACACUGAUGAACGAAAGCCAGGGGAGCAAACGGG